UCCAAUGUGGUGUAGUGGCUAACAUUGCUGUCUUUCAUGUUUGGUCUUGAUCACAGCAGCCCGGGGUUCGAUUCCCCGCAUUGGAA
rfam:Lentinula edodes NBRC 111202 DNA, contig: scaffold12.